rnacentral:rRNA from 1 species
CUUUCAGCGAUGGAUGUCUCGGCUCAACCACCAAUGAAGGGCGCAGCGAAGUGUGAUAAGCAUUGUGAGUUGCCGAAGUCCGUGAACCAAUGGAGACUUGAACGCGCAUUGCGCUGUUGGGACAUGCCUGACAGCAGGCCUGCUUCAGUGUCUAG